rnacentral:rRNA from 1 species
GCGGUCAUAGCGUGGGGGAAACGCCCGGUUCCAUUCCGAACCCGGAAGCUAAGGCCCACAGCGCCGAUGGUACUGCAACCGGGAGGUUGUGGGAGAGUAGGUCGCCGCCGGAC